rnacentral:rRNA from 1 species
ACCGGUUACUGAUGGAAAGUUACUGUAUGGAUAGGACCCUUACCUCCGUGUCCAGCCAGCCGGCCGUAAUCCGGAGGGUCCGAACCGUUAUCCCGGAAUUCAUUGGGUUAAGGGUCGGUAGGCGGCCUCGUAAGUCAGUAGUGAAUCCAAUAGGCCUAACCUAUGACGGGCUAUUGAAACUGCGAAGCUAGAAUCUGAUGGAGGUGGGCCGAAUGUGUGUGUAGCGGUGAAUGCUUAGAUAUACACAGAACACCGAUCGCGAAGGCAGCUCACUAAGGAGCAAUUGACGCUAAUGCACGAAAGCGUGGGGAGCGAACAGGAUUAGAUACCCUGGUAGUCCACGCCGUAAACGAUGAUAACUGGUUGUCGGCGAUACACAGUCGGCGGCUGAGCGAAAAGUAUUAAGUUAUCCACCUGGGGAGUACGAUCGCAAGGUUGAAACUCAAAGGAAUUGACGGGGGCCCGCACAAGCGGUGGAGCAUGUGGUUUAAUUCGAUGAUACGCGAGGAACCUUACCUGGGCUCAAACGUAUAGUGCUUUUACGGGAAACCGUAUUUUCUUCGGACGCUAUACGAGGUGCUGCAUGGUUGUCGUCAGCUCGUGCCGUGAGGUGUCGGGUUAAGUCCCAUAACGAGCGCAACCCCUAUUCUUAGUUGCCAUCAGGUAAAGCUGGGGACUCUAAGGAAACUGCCGGCGCAAGCCGCGAGGAAGGUGGGGAUGACGUCAAAUCAGCACGGCCCUUAUGUCCAGGGCUACACACGUGCUACAAUGGUAGGUACAGAGGGCAGCUACAUGGUGACAUGGUGCGAAUCUCAAAAACUUAUCUCAGUUCGGAUCGAAGUCUGCAACUCGACUUCGUGAAGUUGGAAUCGCUAGUAAUCGCGUAUCAGCCAUGACGCGGUGAAUACGUUCCCGGGCCUUGUACACACCGCCCGUCAAGCCAUGGAAGCUGGGGGUGCCUAAAGUUCGUGACCGAGAGGAGCGGCCUAGGGUAAAACUAGUAACUGGGGCUAAGUCGUAACAAGGUAACC